rnacentral:lncRNA from 1 species
GGACCCACUGGCACCCACGGGGGACCCGCCGGCCGGGCUGCAUGGCUGGAUAACUGGCCCCAUGCUCUGCGGGGUGAGCCCGGCCGGGCGGCUUCCUCACGCUGGGGCUCGGGCGCUCCAGCCCCGCCACAGGCACACGUGGUUGUUCCAGGCCAGAUUGCCACCGGAGCUCUGUCCCGGCACCUUGCAGCGCGAUCUAGCCACGGCCCGGGCGCUGAGCACCCCGAGCGUGGGCAACCGUGGCUCCCGGGCAGAGCACGGCGGAGCUGCCUUCAGCACCGAUGGGCAGCCGGGACCAGCCGGAAGGUCCCUGUCGCAACCCCCAAAGGAAGAAUUUGGGCCGGAGGUUGGUCCCGGGUUUCAGAAGCAGCACAGGAGAGAAGCAGGGACCUUCUCCUUGUGACACAGCUGCUCUGCCUGUGCCCCGUCCCCAGCCAGCCUGGGGGCAGGGAGAGGAGCCCCAGCUGGGGUCUGGGGGGGAGGAUGGAGCGAUGCACCCCUCGCUCCCCGAGCGCCUCUGUGCUUUGUUUGCUGCUGUUCUCCAUGAGGACCUGUGACCCAGCUCCUUUGGUAACAGUUUUGCUGCAGAUGUGUCUUCUCAGAGAUAAAGAAAAGACCAAGGAAAGUCUUCAACAUUUAUUACCUGGGGGCGAGGGUGGCAGGAGGGAACCGUCCUGCCCUGGCUCACCUGUUCUCCCACUACCAAACCAGAACCUGCAGGAACGAGAGGGAGCCACAGCUGCCAGAGACGGUCAACUGAAGAGGCAGCUGAGCAUCAUCACUGGAGCACGUGGCGGUCCUGCUACCUCAGCAAGGAAAAUACUUUCCCAACAGAACUGUCACCCCCUCCUUGCCCACGAUGUUACCUACAGUUUCAUCUGCUGGCCCUGGGGGGCUGGCUGACGGCCGGCUGGGCAUGGGCCCCCGGGGUGGCGGAGGAGGCCAACAGCAUCCUGGCUGGUACCUGAAACGGUGUGGCCAGCCGGCCCAGGGCAGUGACCGUCCCCUGUGCUGGGCACUGGGGGGGCUGCACCAUGAACCCUGGGUUCGGGUUUGGGCCCCUCACUGCAGGGGGGACGCUGGGGGGCUGGAGCGUGUCCAGGGACGG